rnacentral:misc_RNA from 1 species
UUUCUUCUUUUUUUUUUUUUUUUUGGUUCUGUUGAUAGUGAUUUGUUGUCUAGAUUUCCUUAUUUUGAAUUAUGAGCUUAAUUUUGGUAUGUUGUAUUGUGUUGUCUCCUGGAAGUGAAAUGGAUUAGUGGAUAUCUUCCUUGGUUAACGGGUUUGUCCUCCACGACGAAGAUAGACUACACUUUCAUAUAAAAACACCAUCCUUCUUCUUCUCCUUUCAUGUUGCAGGUAAAAAAGCACAUCAAGGCAGG